rfam:Schistosoma haematobium scaffold631_10, whole genome shotgun sequence.
UCUCAGCUGACGAGUCCCAAACAGGACGAGACGAGCCCUGAAU